AGAGUUUGAUCAUGGCUCAGAACUAACGCUGGCGGCGUGCCUAACACAUGCAAGUCGUACGAGAAAGUUGGCUUCGGCCGAUGAGUAAAGUGGCGCACGGGUGAGUAACGCGUGGAUAAUCUACCCCUCAGUUGGGAAUAACUCAUCGAAAGGUGGGCUAAUACCGAAUAAUACUGCAUGACUUCUGUUGUGUAGUCAAAGAUGGCCUCUGCUUGCAUGCUAUUGCUGAAGGAUGAGUCCGCGUACCAUUAGCUAGUUGGUAGGGUAAUGGCCUACCAAGGCAACGAUGGUUAGCUGGUCUGAGAGGAUGAUCAGCCACACUGGAACUGAGACACGGUCCAGACUCCUACGGGAGGCAGCAGUGAGGAAUAUUGCGCAAUGGGGGAAACCCUGACGCAGCAACGCCGCGUGAGUGAGGAAGGUUUUCGGACCGUAAAGCUCUGUCGAGCGGGAAGAAAUGCAUAAUGGCUAAUAUCCAUUAUGCUUGACGGUACCGCUAAAGGAAGCACCGGCUAACUCCGUGCCAGCAGCCGCGGUAAUACGGGGGGUGCUAGCGUUGUUCGGAAUCAUUGGGCGUAAAGAGCGUGUAGGCGGCUGGAUAAGUCAGAUGUGAAAGCCCUGGGCUUAACCUAGGAAGUGCAUUUGAAACUGUUCAGCUUGAGUAGGGGAGAGGAAAGUGGAAUUCCUGGUGUAGAGGUGAAAUUCGUAGAUAUCAGGAGGAACACCGGUGGCGAAGGCGACUUUCUGGCCCUAUACUGACGCUGAGACGCGAGAGCGUGGGUAGCAAACAGGAUUAGAUACCCUGGUAGUCCACGCUGUAAACGAUGUUCACUAGGUGUUGGGGGGUAUUGACCCUCUCAGUGCCGCAGCUAACGCAUUAAGUGAACCGCCUGGGGAGUACGGU
rnacentral:rRNA from 1 species